rnacentral:rRNA from 1 species
UGGGGAAUUUUGCGCAAUGGGCGAAAGCCUGACGCAGCAACGCCGCGUGCGGGACGAAGGCCUUAGGGUCGUAAACCGCUUUCAGCAGGGACGAAACUGACUGUACCUGCAGAAGAAGCUCCGGCUAACUACGUGCCAGCAGCCGCGGUAAUACGUAGGGAGCAAGCGUUAUCCGGAUUUAUUGGGCGUAAAGCGCGCGUAGGCGGCUUGUUAAGUCAGGUGUGAAAGCCGGGGGCUCAACCCGCGGAUUGCAUCUGAAACUGGCAGGCUUGAGUGUGGUAGAGGAAAGUGGAAUUCCCGGUGUAGCGGUGAAAUGCGCAGAUAUCGGGAGGAACACCAGUGGCGAAGGCGGCUUUCUGGGCCACUACUGACGCUGAGGCGCGAAAGCUAGGGGAGCGAACA